CCUACGGGGGGCAGCAGUAGGGAAUAUUGCUCAAUGGGGGAAACCCUGAAGCAGCAACGCCGCGUGGAGGAUGAAGGUUUUCGGAUUGUAAACUCCUUUUGUUAGAGAAGAUAAUGACGGUAUCUAACGAAUAAGCACCGGCUAACUCCGUGCCAGCAACCGCGGUAAUACGGGGGGUGCAAGCGUUACUCGGAAUCACUGGGCGUAAAGAGCGCGUAGGCGGGAUAGCAAGUCAGAUGUGAAAUCCUAGGGCUUAACCAUAGAACUGCAUUUGAAACUGUUAUUCUAGAGUAUGGGAGAGGUAGGUGGAAUUCUUGGUGUAGGGGUAAAAUCCGUAGAGAUCAAGAGGAAUACUCAUUGCGAAGGCGACCUGCUAGAACAUAACUGACGCUGAUGCGCGAAAGCGUGGGGAGCAAACAGGAUUAGAUACCCCUGUAGUC
rnacentral:rRNA from 1 species